CAAUAGCGUAUAUUAAAGUUGUUGCAGUUAAAAAGCUCGUAGUUGGAUUUGUGGCUGUCACGGGCGGCCUAUCACUUAGUGUUAGUGCUUGCCUGUGUCGCCAUCCUUGGGUGGAGCCCGUGUGGCAUUAGGUUGUCGUGCGGGGGAUGCCCAUCGUUUACUGUGAGAAAAUUAGAGUGUUCAAAGCAGGCUUAUGCCGUUGAAUAUGUUAGCAUGGAAUAAUAAGAUAGGACCUCGGUACUAUUUUGUUGGUUUGCGCACCGAGGUAAUGAUUAAUAGGGACAGUUGGGGGUAUUCGUAUUUCAUUGUCAGAGGUGAAAUUCUUGGAUUUCUGAAAGACGAACUACUGCGAAAGCAUUUACCAAGGAUGUUUUCAUUAA
rnacentral:rRNA from 1 species